GAUGAACGCUGGCGGCGUGCCUAAUACAUGCAAGUCGAGCGAACGGACGAGAAGCUUGCUUCUCUGAUGUUAGCGGCGGACGGGUGAGUAACACGUGUAUAACCUACCUAUAAGACUGGGAUAACUUCGGGACACCGUAGCUAAUACCGGAUAAUAUUUUGAACCGCAUGGUUCAAAAGUGAAAGACGGUCUUGCUGUCACUUAUAGAUGGAUCCGCGCUGCAUUAGCUAGUUGGUAAGGUAACGGCUUACCAAGGCAACGAUGCAUAGCCGACCUGAGAGGGUGAUCGGCCACACUGGAACUGAGACACGGUCCAGACUCCUACGGGAGGCAGCAGUAGGGAAUCUUACGCAAAGGGCGAAAGCCUGACGGAGCAACGCCGCGUGAGUGAUGAAGGUCUUCGGAUCGUAAAGCUCUGUUAUUAGGGAAGAACAUAUGUGUAAGUAACUGUGCCCAUCUUGACGGUACCUAAUCAGAAAGCCACGGCUAACUACGUG
rnacentral:rRNA from 1 species